rnacentral:tRNA from 1 species
GGAGGUGUGGAUCAGUGGUAGAGUGCUUGCCUGGCAUGCAUGAGGCCCUGGGUUUAAUCCCCAGCACUGCAA